AUUGAACGCUGGCGGCAGGCUUAACGCAUGCAAGUCGAGCGGAGCGAGGGUGCUUGCACCUUAGCUUAGCGGCGGACGGGUGAGUAAUGCUUAGGAAUCUGCCUAUUAGUGGGGGACAACAUUCCGAAAGGAAUGCUAAUACCGCAUACGCCCUACGGGGGAAAGCAGGGGAUCUUCGGACCUUGCGCUAAUAGAUGAGCCUAAGUCGGAUUAGCUAGUUGGUGGGGUAAAGGCCUACCAAGGCGACGAUCUGUAGCGGGUCUGAGAGGAUGAUCCGCCACACUGGGACUGGGACAAGGCCCAGACUCCUACGGGAGGCAGCAGUGGGGAAUAUUGGACAAUGGGCGGAAGCCUGAUCCAGCCAUGCCGCGUGUGUGAAGAAGGCCUUUUGGUUGUAAAGCACUUUAAGCGAGGAGGAGGCUACUUAGAUUAAUACUCUGGGAUAGUGGACGUUACUCGCAGAAUAAGCACCGGCUAACUCUGUGCCAGCCGCCGCCGUAA
rnacentral:rRNA from 1 species